AUUGAACGCUGGCGGCAGGCCUAACACAUGCAAGUCGAGCGAGCGGCGGACGGGUGAGUAAUGUCUGGGAAACUGCCUGAUGGAGGGGGAUAACUACUGGAAACGGUAGCUAAUACCGCAUACCAUCGGAUGUGCCCAGAUGGGAUUAGCUUGUAGGUAGGGUAACGGCUUACCUAGGCGACGAUCCCUAGCUGGUCUGAGAGGAUGACCAGCCACACUGGAACUGAGACACGGUCCAGACUCCUACGGGAGGCAGCAGUGGGGAAUAUUGCACAAUGGGGGCAAGCCUGAUGCAGCCAUGCCGCGUGUAUGAAGAAGGCCUUCGGGUUGUAAAGUACUUUCAGCCGGGAGGCGUUACUGACAGAAGAAGCACCGGCUAACUCCGUGCCAGCAGCCGCGGUAAUUC
rnacentral:rRNA from 1 species